CCGACUUGGAAAUGGUUUUACAUGCAUCUGUGAGCUAGGUACUUUGCGUUUGGUUAACGGGAUCUAUCGUCGUAUGUGAUUCGGUAGAGUUCGUGGUUCGGGAAACUGUCUACGGAAAUGUCCGAGGUUACGUGCACUCAGUAUUAGACAACAUAACGGUGGAGAGAUUCCUGGGUAUACCGUAUGCCGCUCCUCCCACGGGCAACCUCAGAUUCGAGAAUCCUCAAGAUGCUGAAUCAUGGGCGGACAUUCUCAACACGACAGAUCUACCCCCAGCUUGUCCUCAGACCCACUGGGAGUACGUCAUCGAACACGUGCCAGGCUUCGACUACCACGACGAGGACUGUCUGUAUUUGAACAUCUACGUCCCUCGGACACCCGGUGCUACCGUGGAUGACCUGGCUGUGUUGGUGCACGUGCAUGGCGGUUCCAACGAGCUCGGAAUGGCUGGCAUGUUUCAUGGAGACGUCUUGGCGGCGUUAGGCAACAUCGUCGUUGUAACAGUCAACUACAGACUCGGACCGUUUGGAUUCCUGACCGGGCAGAAUGCGGAUUUCCCUGGCAAUUAUGGUCUACUGGAUCAAAGUUUUGCUCUUCAGUGGGUUCAAAAGAACAUCCGUUUCUUUGAUGGCAAUCCAGCCAAGGUCACGGUUCAAGGGCAUAGUUCUGGUAGUUCAGAUGUUGGUUUACACAUAUUUCCCCCAAAAUCAAAAGGUCUGUUUCGCUACGUCAUCAUGCAGAGUGGUGUUCCAACAGCCAGCUUCUCGAUCGCCCGUCCUCCACGGAAACCGGAAACUAUCCUGACAAUAUUUGCCGAACAUCAUGGCUGUUCAUUCUCAGACAAGAAGCACAUUAAGCAGUGCCUGAAAAACAUUGACUGGGAAACCAUCAUAGACGAUAGCUACAUAGCCUACAUGUCUGCUCCAGAAUCUCGCAUAAAUGAUUAUAUUCCUGUGGUCGACCACGUGUUCAUCAGCGACACGCCAGAAAACCUGAUAGACAAGUGGCCGCAAACGGGGAAGCCUUCAUGACUGGCGUCACAAAGGACGAAAGUUCAGUAUGGGUCAAUCACUUUCUUGUCGAUUACAACUUCACGGAGUUAACAGAAGAAAAAGUGGAAAUGGGUAUUUUUGAAGGCGUAGUCCCAGAGGUUUCACCAGAAUUAAUAGAUCAUUAGUGACUCCAUAUUCAUUGCACCAGCUGUAGACUUCGCCAGUCGUAUUUCUAAGAGAAACAGAAAUACUUAUUUUUACACAUUCGAGUACCAGUCGCCGGUUUCUCCACCGCCAUCUUGGUUA